AAGUUCCGAUAACAAAUGGCGUAUGUCCACAUACGCUGCUGUCAGCCCCGGCGACCAACAGCGACAAUGCUAGUUCUUUCUGCUAAAGAUCGCUCUUCCUGUCUACGUCGAUUGCAGGCAAACAGCUGGGCAGUCGAAGAGUCUUUCCUUUCGUUUAUGCGGCUUUCGGUGUGUUAUUUACUGCCGUGUUGCUCGCCCGUUACGUGCCACACUUUCGUAUACAUUCCACUGUGAAAUCCGAAGCUGGGCCAGCACUGUAAUCAUGAAACAGCGUUGUCCACUGAAUAUUGGGUAGACUGAAGUCACCCGUCAAAAUUAUCUGUUCAAGCAACUUGAUACACGUCUUACGGGACACACCGCGCCUCAACUCGCCGUCGACAUGCUGUAUCUACCGACUGAUGCCAGGAUAGCAUUCCUCGUCAUCUGUACUUUAAUGACGCUUACAAUGUUAGCAUACGUGAAGCUGCAAAUAUAUUUAAACGGUGAAGAUAUCAUGAAGCCGAAGCACCGAUCUCCGCCACCAGAAUUUGGGAGUCGAAUAUUUGGUGAACACCGAUACGUGAAGCUAAGCAAUAUCACCGUUCAUUACAUGACCAAGGGAUGUGAUGACGUCAACGGCGACCGCACAAUGUUACUGCUUUUACACGGAUUUCCCGAUUUUUGGUUCGUGUGGAACAGGCAGAUACCACACCUCAGCUUGUACUUCUGCGUCGUCGUGCCGGACCUGCGUGGCUGCGGCAACACCUCACGGCCGCCGCAUCCCUCGGACUACAUGAUUACAAAUAUUAUAGAGGACGUCCGUGAAUUCAUCACUGCUAUAAGCAAGU